rnacentral:rRNA from 1 species
UUGGCGGCGUGGUUAAGACAUGCAAGUCGAACGGGAUUUUUUGUGUAGUAAUACAUGAAAAGUCUAGUGGCGAACGGGUGCGUAACACGUGAGCAAUCUGCCGGGAAGUGGGGGAUAGCUCGCCGAAAGGCGAAUUAAUACCGCAUGUGGCCAGAGGGGACAUCCCUUCGACGCCAAAGUCGCAAGACGCUUCCUGAUGAGCUCGCGGCCUAUCAGCUUGUUGGUGAGGUAAUGGCUCACCAAGGCUUUGACGGGUAGCUGGUCUGAGAGGACGACCAGCCACACUGGAACUGAGACACGGUCCAGACACCUACGGGUGGCAGCAGUCGAGAAUUUUUCACAAUGGGGGCAACCCUGAUGGAGCGACGCCGCGUGGAGGAUGAAGGUCUUCGGAUUGUAAACUCCUGUCAUGCGAGAACAAGAAAGUGAUAGUAUCGCAAGAGGAAGAGACGGCUAACUCUGUGCCAGCAGCCGCGGUAAUACAGAGGUCUCAAGCGUUGUUCGGAUUCAUUGGGCGUAAAGGGUGCGUAGGUGGCGUGGAAAGUUGAGUGUGAAAUCCUAGGGCUUAACCUUAGAACUGCACUCAAUACUCCCAUGCUAGAGGAAUGUAGAGGAGAGUGGAAUUCACGGUGUAGCAGUGAAAUGCGUAGAUAUCGUGAGGAAGACCAGUUGCGAAGGCGACUCUCUGGGCAUUUCCUGACACUGAGGCACGAAGGCCAGGGGAGCAAACGGGAUUAGAUACCCCGGUAGUCCUGGCAGUAAACGGUGCACAUUUGGUGUGGGCGGGUCCAGACCCCGUCCGUGCCGGANCUAACGCGUUAAAUGUGCCGCCUGGGAAGUACGGUCGCAAGAUUAAAACUCAAAGAAAUUGACGGGGGGCCCGCACAAGCNG